ensembl:lncRNA
CCUGAUCUCUUGCUGACAGAUGUAGAGAGUAGCACCGCCUUUGCUGUAAUCACAGCUGCUGCUUACUUAACCUCUAAGAACGCUGCCUUGAGCACAGCGCUGAGGAUGGGAGAAAAGCCAGUCUGGAUUCCAGUGGCCCAACCCAGAACUUUGGUUACUGGAUUCUCAGCCCAUCUUCAUAGCCACUCAGGGAGGCAUGCAAGGUAGUGUUUAUCUACUCAUUUUUGUUGUUCAGUCACUCAGUCUUGUCAGACUCUUCGUGACCCCGUGGACUGCAGCACGCCAGGCUUCCCUGUCCUUCACCAUCUCCUGGAGCUUGCUCAAACUCAGUGAGGAAAUUGAAUCUCUGUGUGCAAAUGAUCUGUUUGUGAUCUGCAGGAUGAAGACUCAAACCCAGACCUUCUCAGCAACUUCAGUAUUUUCAGUACUUUUUCCAGGAAUCUACUUACUAGAAAGAUCACCUCAAGCUAACCUGUGAAAUGAGGAUUGGGAAGAGUCAUCAGAUUUGGGACUGUGAAUCGCUCUGUUUGAAGACAAGUCUCAUGACAUGGACUUCCUGAAGAUCCACCAAUUGCCAGACUCUUUAAGAGGCCUGAGCUGACUCUUGCUUCAAGGAGCAGCCUAACAUUAACAUCAUCAAGAAAGAUCUAUUGUGCCCUUCAGUUUACGAAGUUGACUUCCUGUCUGGACAGCGGCCCUCCUCCACUCAGUGACCUUCUUGGAUAUGGCGCCUGCAUUCCAUUCCCAGCACAGGGCUGGCUCCAAGGACGGGAGCCCUUUGCAAAGCACUGUUUCCCAUAGUUCCUGAUGCCUUUGUUCUGAGAUAAAGUAAGCCUGUGCUCCAUCCCCUCUGCCAAGCUUCUGCUUAUCACUAGGCAAGGCAAAUAUCAUUGGAAUGUUUCAGUGCACUAUUAGCCAAAUUCCAAUGCAAUCCCAAUCACUUGAUUAAGUGUUUUGAGGACUCACUAGUCCUGGCAUUGACAAGUCCUUGUAAGAGAUCAACAGUGUCAAUGGGAAUAAAUAUUAGCUUGUCCUUUCACAUUGAAUAUGUCAAGCUGACCUACAAGGAUGUAAGCACGCCAAGGGCUGCAAUUUCUGUUUGUUUUGUCUCCAAUAUAUCCCCUAAUACACCUGGAAUGCUACCAGAACAGUUC